rnacentral:rRNA from 1 species
CUGGUUGAUUCUGCCAGUAAUCAUAUGCUUGUCUCAAAGAUUAAGCCAUGCAUGUCUAAGUACAAACUCUAGCACAGUGAAACUGCGAAUGGCUCAUUAGAUCAGUUAUGGUUCCUUAGAUGAUACAAUCCUACUUGGAUAACUGUGGUAAUUCUAGAGCUAAUACAUGCACUAAAGCUCCGACCCUUUCUGAGGGGAAGAGCGCGUUUAUCAGUUCGAAGCCAGCCGAGCCGCAAGGCUCGUCUCUUUGGUGACUCUGGAUAACUCUAGCGGAUCGCACGGCCUCGAGCCGGCGACGCAUCUAUCAAGUGUCUGCCCUAUCAGACUGUCGAUGGUAAGUGCUAUGCUUACCAUGGUGAUAACGGGUAACGGGGAAUCAGGGUUCGAUUACGGAGAGGGAGCCUGAGA